UUUCCACUCUCACAUCCUGUAAGAGUGAAGACAAGAAAACAUUAAUGUUUUAUUAGAAUUUAAUGGGGAAGCCUAAACCAAGUGUUCACUUACACAGUGUUGGACCACUAUCCCAGUCAGGGGAGAGCGAUGCAACAGUACCCCUGGUGUUCUUGCCAAGGUUCAUCCCACAAUUUCUAUCUUCCAAACCCUAAUGGAAGUGAAGAGUUCUGCAUUUAUUCUUAAUUCUGUAAUUGCCACCCUGUUGUGAAUUUCAUUGCAAAUAAUUCAAUGAAAUUUUUCUACAAAAGAAUGUUACAGAACUCAAAAGAAGGAAGACCCAUAUCCCUGAUUUAACACAUGCCAAGAAGAGUGAAUAUUCUCUAUUCCUAAUCUCAUCAAGAUAUCCUGGUUUUUAAAAUCAAAUUUGGCAGAUAGAACAACCAGCCCAGGGUUAACUUGGUGAGCUUCUAUUGACAUCAAGCUAUACUGUUUAUAAUUAUAGUACUAUAGUGCCAAGGUUUUUCAACCAUUUGGCCACUACACAUAUGUACACACAUACUCACAUGCUAUACCUACAUCUGCCAACAGUCCAAAUAUCUACACGUCAUUUUUACCAAUGCCUAAUCAAAUUUUUACCUUGCAUAACUAAAUUUGUACUUAAAAGAACAGGGCAUCUUUAAAAGUAUGCACUUGUGUUAGUUUGUAAACCUUAGACAUCUUCUCUUUUCAUCUUUGAGGCAAUUAAAUUAGUAUUUUAAGUCUAAAUUUCUCUUCCUUUGUUCAUCACCUGGCCAUUCUCCACACCUCAAAAUACAGUUAGGAAUAACUCUCAAUUGCUUCAGGAAGCAUCUUCCUGACUUAAAAUAGGGUCAGUUGAGGGUCAAUAUUCAUUUGAUGCCUAGUAUAUAAGUGCUAGGAUUUUUAUUUGGAAAACAAACUUUGAUGAUGCCCUUCAGUUUUAUCAGAAAGGUGCAGCAUGUGAUGAUAUAUGUGAAAUAUAAAUUACAAAAUUACAACUUACACUAUUUAAGACAAAUAUAUAUUUCACCUACUUAAUGCCUACCCAGAUUAAUUAUAGACAUUUUGUUGAUUUAGCACAUUAGGUAUUUUUUUAUGUGACGGAUUAAACUUCCAAUUUUAGCUACACUAUGCUGACAGAUUUUCAGGUAUACAGUUCUUUUUUUUUUAAAGGUAAUGCAUUCCACUACUAAACUUUCAUAAAACAACAUUAAUCUUGGACUGUCAUAGUUGAUAAUCAGUGGUUCAUUGUGAUGUGCUUUAUCCAACAUCUAUCUUAGUGCAUGGUUGAGGAUGUCCUACAAUCUUAAGUUACUGUGUGGCAUUUGUGGGACUGUAACAGCAAUGUAUCCACCCUACCAAGCAAUAGCAAGCUGAGGUAGCAGCUGCAUGAGAAAAACUGUGAUGUACAUCUUCAUUUAAAGUCAUGACUGAAAUCUUUCUAGACCAAAAAUUAGUGUGUUUGUUAAUAAUCCUCAUAGUACAGUUAGAGUGUUCAAUCAGGUAUUUUUAGGGAAACAGACGUGGGAGCUGGCCUGUCUAAGGAGCCCUUUGUCUCUCAAUCACUGAUUGCAUGACAGGAACUCUGUUCCUUUGUAUGUACACUCACUCAGUGUGCUCUGUCAGGGUGCCACAUGAGCAGCUAGACCCAAGUGAUCUUUCUAAUCAUGCCCAGAAAAAUGAUCUACUGCUCUGCUCAGCUCUGCCUAUUUGAGAGUCCGACCUGUGCAUUAGAAGUUUGGUAGUAAUGGUGAAAUCUUGCUGAUAUACUAAGCCUUUUAACAUUAAUGUCAACUUUUUCAAGUUCUUUACAUUUUAGAUGAAAUUUUGGCCAAAGUCUGUUACAGAUAUAAACCUGUUUUAUACCCUAGAAUUCGCUGGAACAAAUUAGGCAAAAGAUAGUGUUUAUGACCAGAAUCUUCCCCUCAUCUUAAUUAUCUUCACCCUACACUACUCCUCAAGGGCUCAAGGUACUAGAAAUGCAGUAUUCCUUAAGGAGGCAAAAACAGGUUGGGAAAUUUAUCUAAAAUGUAGCUACUUAUCAUUAUUGGUAUUUCAUAAAUAAAUGUAUUUUUAAAUAUUUCUACAAAUGCUUGACACUCUAGCCAAAUGAUAUUUCCCUUUGGUAGAUUGAAACAGUUUCUCCCAGGCUACACACAUUGCUGCCCCUCCCAACACACACUUACAACCCUGAUACUUUUUUAGCGAAGGGAAAAUUCCAUCCAUGGUGCUUUCUCAGGGCUAGGGGAAAAGGGGGUGUUUGCUAAGUGCCAACUGUAGCUCACAUCUUGUUUUUAAAGGCCCAUGAAAUAGAUUCUUCACACUGAUUUGAUGAGUCUGUGUGUCUGUGUGAAGAAAGAAUUCCCAUUAAACAGAGGGUGGAGAGAAAAUGCAUUCGGCAAACAUUCUAGUAAAAGAAAUGAAUUAUUUCAAAAAUCCCACAGAUAGCUUGGGUUGUCAGAUCAGAUCAUCUAGAACUUUUUAUUCAUGUUUUUCUUUUGUACUUCCUGAUUUGUUUUUGUUUCAGGGUUUUAAAAGCAUUAUCCUCAGAGACUGAGAGGACUAAGAAUAGUAAGUGAGACUCAGAUUUCACCAUCUAUUUCCUAUCUGCAGCUAUUAUUGGUGGAGUUUCAACCAGUCAUUACUAGCUAAACUGAGGCUGGGGGGUUACCUGUGUAUUUCAUUCAUCUGUGUUCAUAAUUUCAUUGUGGACAAUUGAGAGUUGGCUGUAACUAUUGCUUAAUGGAUAUAUUUUUAUAUUAAUGUUAUUUGGGGCCAAGGAUCACUUAAAGUUCAUGAGUGCUAUUCUUAUAGACACAAAUGGUACAUGAGCCACAUAGACACCUGGCCUUUCAGGGACGUGAGCAUGACUUACAUCUGACUAGUGAUUCCAUAUUCCUCCUUGUCAAAGUGAAGUUUGGGGAUGUUUGCUGUGUCAAUAUGACGAUUUUCAUGCAUUGUCUCAUCAUCCAUAGGCAGUGUGCUGAAUGAAAACUGUCCUGUAAUUCCUGUUAUAUAUUGUUAAUGUCAGAUGUGAUGUGAUACAGUUGGACUGUCCAAAUGUACAACUAUUUAAUGGUGUUUGUAGAACUGAAAUGUCUUAAAUGUUGCAUGAAAUAUGUUCUAAAAAUAGAUUUGUUUUCUAUUUUUCAACACCUCAGAAUUGAGGGUUCAUGGGCCAAUAAGUGCAAUAUUUAAUGACUUACUCAGUGUAUAUAAACUAGUGUGCAAAAGUGAAUUCUAAUGAAUGUGUGAGAUGCUUUGAUGGCUGUAUGCUUAUUCAAAUGAUUUCUUGUAGCAGUAUUUGUCUAGUGGUGCAAUUUAUACAGUAAAUAUCUUAUUGGUGUCAUGUGAAACUCCUCUGUGCCUACUUCAAAGUACUUCUUUUCCUAUAAGACCAAAUGUUUAGUAUCUGCAAAUACAUGUCAAUUUUACCUUUUGGAACUGUGGAUUUUAUUUUCAAAACAGAAUAAUUAUGAGUUUAUUUUAUAAAAGCAUUCCUUUGAUAAUUCAGAAUUCUUCUUAAGCCUCUUGUAAGAGUGUAUUAAGCAACUAAUUUAGAUACUAUGGGGAAAUAUGUGCAUAAAGAAGUGACUAUUUCUCUUUUCAGAAAGGUUGAUCACAUGUUAUGUCUACUAAGAAUUUUCACUCUUGAAUUUGUAUGUAUGUUUUAUUGUUACUCAACAUUUUACUUUGUUUACAACUUGGAUACUGUCAACUCUGGGAACUCUUAUCACACCACUGUCUUUUUAGAUUAUAGCUGAUGUUAUGUUCACUUUCAAUUCUCAGUUGUCCACAUUGGUGAUAAAAGAGAAAUGCCAGUAUCCUUAUAUCACUUUGGUAUGUCUUCAUGAACUCAUAUAUUCAUCCUCAUACCCCCUUGGUUAAUCCCAAAUUUGGUGGCCUGAAACUUCACAGAGACAUAAAAUUAAGAAAUUAAGCCCAGUUGCUGGAUUACUAAAAGCUACAAAUAUUUAUGUAUAUGAAUGUUAAUUUAGGUCAACAACUUUAAACUCCUAGUUGCCAUUUCAAUCUUUAAGGUAAUGCCUCUUUUUAAUAUUGUACUUUUUUUCUCAUUUAGUUAGCUGGGUAAACCAUGAUAUCCUAAGGAAUAAAAACAAGUUACAACUUACUCAUUAAACAAUAAUGGAGUACAGUUGGUUCUAGAUGGUCAUGUCUGUCCAUACAUGUUAAAAAGGCUUCUGUUCUCCCUAUAUCACUUGACGGGGAACUGACAGGUGAAGAUGUGUUAGUCACAUUAAAUGGCUUUGGACUAUGUGGUCAAUAUGUGGACUGAAUUUAACUGUGAUUGAAAGUUGCAUUUAGCUCUCAAAAACCACUGAAAAAAUCAAGUAAACAUGGGCAAAACAGGGAAACCAAUGUUGUCUUUGUGCCAAAUUUUAAAAAUAAAGAGAAAAAAGAAAAGUGUUCUAGCCAACGAUAGAAUGAAAAUUUAAAGGUGUGGUUUAAAGUGUCAUUUGUUGUCACAUGUUAUUAAAUGCCACAUACUCAGUACUGUAGGAAUCAACCAUGCAAGAGGUAUGGCUCCUGUCCCUAAUGAGAAUGAGGAGAAAAAAGUGCAAGAUAUAAUCUAAGUGCUCAGUUAUGUCAAGAGCACAGAGAAUGGGGACCUUAAGGAACUGGAAGAGUCAAGAGUAGCUUCAUGGAGGAGGUCAGAUAGGAUCCCAGAAAAAAAUUAAAUAGUGAGGAGAUUGUGCCAGGCUACUGAGUGGCAAAGACCAUAGUAUAGUCCCUUUGAACGGGGGUGUGGCAGAGCUGGCAGCUAUAGAUGAUUGUUUUCUUCAAAGUGACCCUUUGAAAAACCUCAAGUGACCCCAGUUUAGCUCUUUGUCUUUCUGUCUCCGUGAGGAAGACAAAAUGUCCUUUCCCAUAUUCCUCUGUCUGGAGCAGCCUCAUGCUCAGCCACAAAAUCCAAGUUGCUUUAAAGCCACAUUAGAACCAUUAAUUUAGACAUUUGCCAAUGCCCAGAACCAUGAGACAUUGUUCAACCUAAUGUCACCCAGGCAGAUGUGACCCAGAGAUUUUUCUGUAGCUCCAUGUUUCCUGUAAAAGGAAUGAGAAAUGCACAGAUAAAAACCCUCCUUUGUACACCGGCACUUUUGGCUCCUUCGCAGUGACUGCACUGUGGAACUCUUCUUGAGAAAAUAGUGACAACAGCUUAACGCUUUCGUAUAGUGAUCGUGAUGUUUAGUUGAAAACUACUGCUGCAUAGCAAAUAUUGUGACUUCAUGUGUCCACAGGAGCGCUUGUCUGGGUUUAGAGCUAUAAAGUGUAUUCACAUUGUGAAGUUUUAAUUAUCUUUAUUGAAAUUAAUUGUGUAAAAAUUGGUAUGUGCUCUAUUAGGUAUUCAGUUUGUAUGUGAAUUCUGUGUGGAAAGUGGUUUUUGUUCUUUG
rnacentral:lncRNA from 1 species